AUACGUAGGGGGCGAGCGUUGCUCGGAAUGAUUGGGCGUAAAGGGCGCGUAGGCGGCCCGGUAAGUCUGGAGUGAAAGUCCUGUUUUUAAGCUGGGAAUUGCUUUGGAAACUGUCGGGCUUGAGUGCAGUAGAGGUAAGUGGAAUUCCCAGUGUAGAGGUGAAAUGCGUAGAGAUUGGGAGGAACACCAGUGGCGAAGGCGAAUUACUGGACUGUAACUGACGCUGAGGCGCGAAAUUGUGGGGAGCAAACAGGAUUAGAUACCCUGGUAGUCCACACUGUAAACGAUGAAUGCUAGGUGUAGGGGGUAUCGACCCUUUCUGUGCCGCAGUCAACACAAUAAGCAUUCCGCCUGGGGAGUACGGCCGCAAGGUUGAAACUCAAAUGAAUUGACGGGG
rnacentral:rRNA from 1 species